rfam:Orchesella cincta Ocin01_Sc4285, whole genome shotgun sequence.
CGACCUCAGAGCAGGCGAGAUUACCCGCCAAAUUUAAGCAUAUUAAUAAGCGGAGGAAAAGAAACUAACAAGGAUUCCCUUAGUAACGGCGAGCGAAAAGGGAAAAGCCCAGCGCCGAAUCUGGUGUCCCCCGGGCAUCAAGACAUGUGGCGUUUGGGACGAGAUAUUGCCUGUGCAGAAUGAUCAUCCAAGUCCCUCUUGAACGGGGCCAUAGCCCAUGGAGGGUGCUAGGCCCGUAUGAUGAUUUUAUUGUGCAGUGCGUCUCGUCCGUAGAGUCGGGUUGCUUGGGAGUGCAGCCCAAAUCAGGUGGUAAACUCCAUCUAAGGCUAAAUAUGACCACGAGACCGAUAGCGAACAAGUACCGUGAGGGAAAGUUGAAAAGAACUUUGAAGAGAGAGUUAAAAAGUACGUGAAACCUCUCGGGGGUAAGCGGGCAGAACUUGCAAGUAUUGAGGGGAACAUUCAGGCUUGGUGUUGAUGGCUGAUGAUGUGCAUUAAGUUGUUGGUUCGCCUUUGGCUGAUGCACGUUUUUUGUUCUGUUGACAAUACGCCGCAUUUGUUCCUCUCAUCGGGUUGCAUGCGACUGAGUUGUGUAUUUUAGGUGCCGGGUACUGCAAAUCCUUGUGGUUUGAGUCCUGGUUUCCAACUACAUAUGCGGUCGUUGUACAGCAAACAGGCGUUUAACGCGGUCAGGGGUUUUCACGAGUGGGGUGCAUAUGAUUUGUGACGGGUAACCGUAGCACGUUGUAUGUAUCUGCUGUCAGUGAGAGCUGUUUGGCACUGUUUAGUAUUGCAAUCUAAAGCAUGCGUGGUCUGCCUGUCCCGUCUUGAAACACGGACCAAGGAGUCUAACAUGUGCGCGAGUCAUUGGGAAUGAAAACCCAAAGGCGUAAUGAAAGUGAAGAUUCGAUUGCGAAUUUGAGGAGAGAUACCGUAGAUGUAGUGGCUUCCGAAAGGUUGUUGCUGCAGCUUGGUCGCAUCUCCGGGACGUCUAUACCUCUGAAGGUGGGGCGUACCUAGAGCGUACACGUUGGGACCCGAAAGAUGGUGAACUAUGCCUGGUCAGAACGAAGUCAGGGGAAACCCUGAUGGAGGUUCGUAGCGAUUCUGACGUGCAAAUCGAUCGUCGGAACUGGGUAUAGGGGCGAAAGACUAAUCGAACCAUCUAGUAGCUGGUUCCCUCCGAAGUUUCCCUCAGGAUAGCUGGCGCUUUUUGUAACCAGUCUCAUCCGGUAAAGCGAAUGAUUAGAGGCCUUGGGGCCGAAACGACCUCAACCUAUUCUCAAACUUUAAAUGGGUGAGAAGUCAGGCUUGCUUAAUCGAAGCUCUGACAAUGGAUGGUGAGUGCCAAGUGGGCCACUCUUGGUAAGCAGGACUGGCGCUGUGGGAUGAACCAAACGCCGGGUUAAGGCGCCCGAAUCGACGCUCAUCAGAUCCCAUAAAAGGCGUUGGUUGCUUAAGACAGCAGGACGGUGGCCAUGGAAGUCGGAAUCCGCUAAGGAGUGUGUAACAACUCACCUGCCGAAGCAACUAGCCCUGAAAAUGGAUGGCGCUGAAGCGUCGUGCCCAUACCCGGCCGUUGGGUCAAAGAGGCAUUAAAUUGUCCGCGAGGAGGACCAACGAGUAGGAGGGUCGUGGCGGUGUGCGUAGAAGGGUCUGGGCGUGGGCCUACCUGGAGCCGCCGUCAGUGCAGAUCUUGGUGGUAGUAGCAAAUACUUUGGAGAGGCCCCGAAGGACCGAUGUGGAGAAGGGUUUCGUGUGAACAGCCGUUGGACACGAGUCAGUCGAUCCUAAACCCGACGAGAAGUCGGUAUCACUGUAAGGCAGUUAAAAAUCAAAUGUAUGCCUACUUUGGUAAGGUGAAAGGGAAUCUGGUUUCAAUUCCAGAACCCGGUGACGGAACCGCUCUUUUUGAUAUGGUCCUCGCGGCUAUAUCAUCGGGGUAACCCAAAAAGACCUGGAGAAGCCAUCAGAACUCCCAGGAAGAGUUUUCUUUUCUGCAUGAGUAACUAAGCGCCCUGGAAUUCCUUCACGGAGAGAUAGGGUCACGGUUACGAAGAGCGCCGCAGUUAUGUGGCGUCUGGGAUGUUUUGCUGGACCUUGAAAAUCCAGGAGAGGGACACGGGAGCGUCGCACCGGAUCGUACCCAUAUCCGCAGCAGGUCUCCGAGGUGAGAAGCCUCUGGUCGAUAGAACAAUGUAGGUAAGGGAAGUCGGCAAAUCGGAUCCGUAACUUCGGGAAAAGGAUUGGCUCUGAGGAUCGGGGCGGUCGGGCCGGAUCAGGAAGUAGUUUGUGCUCACGUGCUGGCCUGGACAAGACCCUCGGGUUGAGUUCGGUCCCAUGCCGCGGCCUGCUAUGGAUCGGUUCGGCUAGGAGAGCCUGGGGGUUCGCUUCCAGGAGUCCUCUCUUCGGCCUCCAUUGAACGAUCAACUCAGAACUGGCACGGACCGGGGGAAUCCGACUGUCUAAUUAAAACAAAGCAUUGUGAUGGCUCUUGCGG